GGAACUAAAAGUCGUAACAAGGUUUCCGUAGGUGAACCUGCGGAAGGAUCAUUGAAUCGAUCGAACCAACCCGGUGACUUGGUGUGCCCGAUCCCGGUGGGAGAUUCCUCUGCCGGGUGGCCGAUCUGGGGGGUCUUCUCAUGAAUGGGAGGGCUCCUUUGGGUCGGGCUGCGGGUCGUCCUCCAAAGGAGACGGCCUCUUGGCGGCUUUCAUCCGAUCUUGGAAGCACCCCUGAAGCGUCCGCCCACCGGCCACAAGCCGGUGGGCAUGCAAAAUACGAAAGACAACUCUCAACAACGGAUAUCUUGGCUCCC
rnacentral:misc_RNA from 1 species